GACGAACGCUGGCGGCGUGCUUAACACAUGCAAGUCGAACGGAAAGGCCCUGCUUUUGUGGGGUGCUCGAGUGGCGAACGGGUGAGUAACACGUGAGUAACCUGCCCUUGACUUUGGGAUAACUUCAGGAAACUGGGGCUAAUACCGGAUAGGAGCUCCUGCUGCAUGGUGGGGGUUGGAAAGUUUCGGCGGGUGGGGAUGGACUCGCGGCUUAGCAGCUUGAUGGUGGGGUAGUGGCUUACCAAGGCUUUGACGGGUAGCCGGCCUGAGAGGGUGACCGGCCACAUUGGGACUGAGAUACGGCCCAGACUCCUACGUGAGGCAGAAGUGGGGAAUAUUGCACAAUGGGCGGAAGUCUGAUGCAGCAACGCUGCGUUCGGGAUGACGGCUUUCGGGUUGUAAACCGCUUUCGCCUGUGACGAAGCGUGAGUGACGGUAAUGGGUAAAGAAGCACCGGCUAACUACGUG
rnacentral:rRNA from 1 species